UCCAUUUUGCAAUGCCAUGCCAUACCCUGUGGACGGCGCUUAAUUGGAGCCAAUUUCCUCCUACAACAGGACAAUGACCCAAAGCACAGCUCCAAAUGAUGCAAGAACUAUUUAGAGAAGAAGCAGUCAGCUGGUAUUCUGUCUAUAAUGGAGUGGCCAGCACAGUCACCGGAUCUCAACCCUAUUGAGUUGUGGGAGCAGCUUGACUGUAUGGUACGUAGGAAGUGCCCAUUUUGCCAAUCCAACUUGUGGGAGGUGCUUCAGGAAGCAUGUUGUGAAAUGUCUUCAGAUUAGCUCAACAAAUUGACAACUAGAAUGCCAAAGGUCUGCAAGGCUGUAAUUGCUGCAAUAGGAGGAUUCUUUGACGAAUGCAAAGUUUGAAGGACAAUUAUUAUUUCAAUUAAAAAUCAUUAUUUAUAACCUUGUCAACGCCUUGACUAUAUUUCCUAUUAAUUUUACAAAUCAUUUCAUGUAUGUUUUCAUGGAAAACAAGGACAUUUCUAUGUUACCCCAAACUUUUGAACGGUAGUGUAUUUGGCAGACUAGGGCACAAUGAUGUAUCAUGAAAUCUGGUGCAGUAUCAUAGGCUCAUGUGCUUGCCAAAUCUCCAGGCUCUUUUGACACACUUGGAAAUGAACAUUAGAUGGUGCCAAGUGACUGUUCUCCUUUUUUUCAUUGUGUAUUGCAGUUCACAGUUGUUUGCCAAACUACCUGAAUAAUUUCACUUUGCAUUUCAGGGAUGACUACAACCACAGGGAUCGAACCAGAAACACUUGGAGGAGAGAUGCCCAGGCAUAGAUGACAAAGAGAUGACUGAGAGCGGUCUCAACUGGUUCGCCGUGGAAGAACUUGCUCCGAACCGAGAGAGAUGGAGAACAAUGGCCUUCGUCAACGGCCUGUGCUGAAGAGUUUGACGUUCCUGAAGCCCUCGUGAUGUUUACUCUGUCACGGACAAUCAGAGCCCGGCUUUAACACCUGUGGUGAUGGGAUCGUUUUAGCUGCGUAUGAAGAAAAAAAUCCCCAGCUCAACAGUGAAUAGAAUGAGACUGGACAAGCACCCCUGGCAAUCGCCCCUUCGUCUUUACCUGUUUUUUUUUUUUUUUUUUUUUGUAAACCAGGUAGGACGAUUGGCACAAAAUUCAACACAUUCUUCCCCUUUUCUAGUUCCCAGGUGUGUCCUAAUGCUUUAUUUUGAGAAGGCGUAAAUAGUUAUUUUUUUCAUCCCUAAUUUAGAUAUUUCAUGUUUUGAUGUUGGAUAUGGUAUAGAGGCUUCCUGUUGUUAGUGGUCUAGCAAUUAAUAACAUGUCUCGUGUGCUCAGUAUUGGAACACACAACACCAGCUAUAUUCAAGUCAAAAAUUGGAUGUAAGAAGGACAAGUUAAGCCGCACAGAGGACAGGCAAUGGGGACAUUUCAUUGCAUACCCGGAAGUGUUGUGUAUUUGGUGAGCAACUUACAUAUCCGUUUUGUCCCACAAUUAGCUAGACAAUCGAAUCCUCUGUCGCAUUUUCAUUUCAAACAAGAGAAUGAAAGCACAUCAAAUUCACGUCAGUUUAGUAAACUUGCGGAACAUGUUAAAUAGAAUAGGGGCACAAUGCACGUUUUAAACAGUCCACCUUCUUCGGACCGACUGACAUCUUAUUUAGACCCCUCCUGUCUCAGCCUCCAAUAUUUAUGCUGCAUUAGUUUAUGUGUCGGGGUGCUAGGGUCAGUUUGUUAUAUCUGGAGUACUUCUCCUGUCUUGUCCUGUGUGAAUUUAAGUAUGCUCUCUCUAAUUCUCUCUUUCUCUCUCUCUCGGAGGACCUGAUCCCUAGGACCAUGCCUCAGGACUACCUGGCAUGAUGACUCCUUGCUGUCCCCAGCCCACCUGGCCGUGCUGCUGCUCCAGUCUCAACUGUUCUGCCUACGGUUAUGGAAUCCUGACCUGUUCACCGGACGUGCUACCUGUCCCAGACCUAUUAUUUGACCAUGCUGGUCAUUUAUGAACAUUUGAACAUCUUGGCCAUGUUCUGUUAUAAUCUCCACCCGGCACAGCCAGAAGAGGACUGGUUUUGGCCUUUCUAGGGAGUUUUUCCUAGCCACCGUGCUUCUACACCUGCAUUGCUUGCUGUUUGGGGUUUUAGGCUGGGUUUCUGUGCAGCACUGAGCACUGAGAUAUCAGCUGAGCAGCUGAGAUAUCAGCUGAUAUACGAAGGGCUAUAUAAAUACAUUUGAUUUGAUUGAUUUAGCACAAGAUAUUUCCUUACAAUAUAAGAUUGAUAUAUGUAACCAAAUUGCAGAGCAACCUUUUUUCUUUUCUUUAAAAUGCAAUUUAAAUUGAAUGUAUGUGUUACUUUGCAGAUGUAUUUAAAUGGAAUAGAGAACAGGGCAAAUGUGGUGCAUGUUCACUAAACUCAGUCCGCCACCUUAA